rnacentral:tRNA from 1 species
GGCCCGUUGGUCCAGUGGUGAGGACGCCUGACUCUCAAUCAGGAGGCCACCGGUUCGAAUCCGGUACGGGCUG